UCACCGCGUGGCGAAGGGCUCCCCGUGGGACCCGUUUACCAGCAGCCCUUCCAGCACUGGGGGUUAUUCCAAGCUAUACCUGGGCACAUAAGGGCAUCGCAGCAAUUGGAAUCCAUCAUUUCAGCCCAGGCAUCUUCCCCCCUGCUCCAAACCUGCAGGAUUUGUAGGACCAGCUCCGUUUUGGGUGUUUGUUGUCGGUACCAUUGCGCAGGUCACCAGAGUGGGAAGAAAUUUUGGCAUCAGAGCACAAACAUGGUUUCGAAGAUGGAAUUUAUAUGUGGUAUUAAUCCAGCCUACAAUGUCUGCGGCCCCCGGCUCAACGGAGCAAUGUACCCAUCGUUCAUCAGGGAAGAAAGGACAAGACUGGAAAUUCUAAGAAAUCGUAAAUGCGAGUGUACACCAGGACCUGGAGCAUACGAUGUAGACAGAGGCUACGCGGCGAUCUUUCCCCGCUCCAUCAGUUUCACCAUUAUAGGAGUCAGGAGACAUAACAUCAGGCCCUUCACAACUUUCUGAAGCAGAGAUGGUCACAGGAUUUCACCUGUAACCAGGGGACUUGCUCCAUCCAGUGAUGAAAUAAGCACAUAAGCAAUUCAGCUCAAGAACUGGUGUGUGUCCCUGUCCUGUCCUGGCUGCUGAGGGGAGCUGGAGCUGUUAGUGCAGUACCUGCUGCUCUCAAGAGCUGCACAUUGGCCCUGUCAGGGACAGAGCUCACAGAAAACCCACUCAGCCAUGUUUGCCCUUUGUGGCAUGUUUGCAAGCACUGGCUUGAGGCAACUCCACUUCUCUAAGCUCAGUGUCACUGCAAACCAAUGACUUCAGGGCAGCAAAUGGGAAAUGAGCAUCUUCCAGCUCAGCAGAUUCAGGAAGAACCAUCCCCUUGUUGAUACAGAGGGCAGGUGCUCCCCAACCAAAACCCACGACUCAUGGC